rnacentral:rRNA from 1 species
CUCAAGUUGAUAACCACCGGCGUUAAGCGUGAUUAAAGCUUACAUAAGUUAGGGUUAAACCAAUACUUAGUAGUGAUAAGCUUGUUAUUGAGAAAACCAUAAACGAAAGUUACCCUAAUUAUAAUACUUGAAUACACGACAGCUGGGAAGACAAACUAGGAUUAGAUACCCUACUAUGCUCAGCCGUAAACAAUUAAUUUACACCAAUCAGCGCCAGGGAAUUACGAGCCAUGCUUAAAACCCAAAGGACUUGACGGUGUCCCACCCCCCUAGAGGAGCCUGUUCUAUAAUCGAUAAUCCCCGCUAUACCCUACCAUUCCUCGCCUCAGUCUGUAUACCUCCGUCGAAAGCCUACCCUGUGAACGUCCAGUAAGCCCAAUGACCCCCCUCAACACGUCAGGUCAAGGUGCAGCUCACGGAAUGGAAAGUAAUGGGCUACAAUUUCUAACAUAGAACAAACGAAAGGCCAUGUGAAACCAUAGUCACGAAGGUGGAUCUAGCAGUAAAAAGAAAAUAGAGUGUUCUUUUUAACCCGGCUCUGGGACGCGUACACACCGCCCGUCACCCUCUUCGAUAGCUUUACUUCACGUUUAUAACCCUUUAUCCGCACCUUAGAAGAGGCAAGUCGUAACACGGUAAGUGUACUGGAAAGUGCACUUGGAUUACAA